GACAACAUCUGUGUCCCAACAGGUAACGGUACAGACAACAUCUGUGUCCCAACAGGUAACGGUACAGACAACAUCAGUGUCCCAACAGGUAACGGUACGGACAACAUCUGUGUCCCAACAGGUAACGGUACAGACAACAUCAGUGUCCCAACAGGUAAUGGUACGGACAACAUCAGUGUCCCAACAGGAAACGGUACGGACAACAUCGUUGUCCCAACAGGUAACGGUACGGACAACAUCUGUGUCCCAACAGGUAACGGUACAGACAAUAUCGUGUCCCAAACAGGUAACGGUACAGACAAUAUCUGUGUCCCAACAGGUAACGGUACAGACAACAUCUGUGUCCCAACAGGUAACGGUACAGACAACAUCUGUGUCCCAACAGGUAACGGUACAGACAACAUCAGUUUCCCAACAGGUAACGGUACAGACAACAUCUGUGUCCCAACAGGUAACGGUACAGACAACAUCAGUGUCCCAACAGGUAACGGUA